rnacentral:tRNA from 1 species
GUUCUCCUUAUCGGACGCGGAACUGCCGUGUCCGGUUGCCGGCCGAGCGAUUACGGUGCCUUCAUGCCACAGCAGACGUUCGGUUCGUACGAAGAGUUC